CGGAUGAGUUGCGAACGGGUGAGUAACGCGUAGGUAACCUGCCUGGUAGCGGGGGAUAACUAUUGGAAACGAUAGCUAAUACCGCAUAAGAGUAGAUGUUGCAUGACAUUUGCUUAAAAGGUGCAAUUGCACCACUACCAGAUGGACCUGCGUUGUAUUAGCUAGUUGGUGGGGUAACGGCUCACCAAGGCGACGAUACAUAGCCGACCUGAGAGGGUGAUCGGCCACACUGGGACUGAAACACGGCCCAGACUCCUACGGGAGGCAGCAGUAGGGAAUCUUCGGCAAUGGACGGAAGUCUGACCGAGCAACGCCGCGUGAGUGAAGAAGGUUUUCGGAUCGUAAAGCUCUGUUGUAAGAGAAGAACGAGUGUGAGAGUGGAAAGUUCACACUGUGACGGUAUCUUACCAGAAAGGGACGGCUAACUACGCGCCAGCAGCCGCGGUAAUACGUAAGUCCCGAGCGUUGUCCGGAUUUAUUGGGCGUAAAGCGAGCGCAGGCGGUUAGAUAAGUCUGAAGUUAAAGGCUGUGGCUUAACCAUAGUACGCUUUGGAAACUGUUCAACUUGAGUGCAAGAGGGGAGAGUGGAAUUCCAUGUGUAGCGGUGAAAUGCGUAGAUAUAUGGAGGAACACCGGUGGCGAAAGCGGCUCUCUGGCUUGUAACUGACGCUGAGGCUCGAAAGCGUGGGGAGCAAACAGGAUUAGAUACCCUGGUAGUCCACGCCGUAAACGAUGAGUGCUAGGUGUCAGACCCUUU
rnacentral:rRNA from 1 species